rnacentral:misc_RNA from 1 species
GAUGAAGAACGCAGCGAAAUGCGAUAAUUAAUGUGAAUUGCAGAAUUCAGUGAAUCAUCGAGUCUUUGAACGCACAUUGCGCCCCCUGGUAUUCCGGGGGGCAUGCCUGUCCGAGCGUCAUUGCUGCCCUCAAGCACGGCUUGUGUGUUGGGCCUCCGUCCUCCUCCCGGGGGACGGGCCCGAAAGGCAGCGGCGGCACCGCGUCCGGUCCUCGAGCGUAUGGGGCUUCGUCACCCGCUCUUGUAGGCCCGGCCGGCGCUUGCCGACACAUCAAUCUUUUUUCCAGGUUGACCUCGGAUCAGGUAGGGAUACCCGCUGAACUUAAGCAUAUCAAUAAGCGGAGGA